AAUGAACGCUGGCGGCAUGCCUAACACAUGCAAGUCGAACGAAGGCUUCGGCCUUAGUGGCGCACGGGUGCGUAACGCGUGGGAAUCUGCCCUCAGGUUCGGAAUAACAGCGAGAAAUUGCUGCUAAUACCGGAUGAUAUCGCGAGAUCAAAGAUUUAUCGCCUGAGGAUGAGCCCGCGUAGGAUUAGCUAGUUGGUGUGGUAAAGGCGCACCAAGGCGACGAUCCUUAGCUGGUCUGAGAGGAUGAUCAGCCACACUGGGACUGAGACACGGCCCAGACUCCUACGGGAGGCGGCAGUGGGGAAUAUUGGACAAUGGGCGAAAGCUUGAUCCAGCAAUGCCGUGUGAGUGAUGAAGGCCUUAGGGUUGUAAAGCUCUUUUACCCGGGAUGAUAAUGACAGUACCGGGAGAAUAAGCUCCGGCUAACUCCGUGCCAGCCGCCGCGGUAA
rnacentral:rRNA from 1 species